AGACUCUUCCUUAAAGGUAAGCUGGCCUUGAAAGCCGGUGUGGGGCAGAUUAGUGUCCAAGAGUUUA
rnacentral:tRNA from 1 species